GAUCGCCAAUCAUCUUCAAAGAAUUCACGUACGUUCUAUCUCUCAUGGAGGAAGCAAUUCAAUUAUGCAGAGCUCAAGAAAAAGUUUUCGUUCGGAACACAAAUCACUUCCACUUGAAAGUGGGCGAUUGGUAUUUCAUCCCUCUACAAGGACUCAGAAACAAUCCAGUCCAGUUGACGACAUACGUGAUCAGGCUGGACUGGUGACCCAUGAAAUGAAAUCAUUCCAACGAGAUUACACCACGUAUAACUUGUCAGCAAAUCAAUAACCACUAGAACCAGAUGUCGUGGUGGAUAAUAUGCACAACCUUAUCAACACAUCUCUUUCUCUCCCGCUUUUUCCCAUCACCAUCCACCACUCAUAUUUUCAUAGCCAAUACAAGUUUAUGGUCGUGCCAUGUGGCCCAUCAAUAUUAAGCGCUCUGCAACAAACAAUCACCAACCAACUCGGUACAUAAAAAGUUAAAAACUUUUAUCUGGAGCUCCAUGCCUACUUUGCAGGGGAUAAGAGAAUUUGAGCCAUAGCUAAGCUAGGUAAUAGUACUACUACCAUCUGUUUAGACGCUUAUCGGGGAGUCGCAAUUUUACAUUUGCGAGACAGGAUACUACAAAUUGUGUUAGUGGGAAUGUGAAUGUGUUUAGAUUAAACAGCAGAUACUACCACCGGGGUUGGAGGGAAAUCGAAAGUGGCUAUGUAAUCAUACCGUUACUAAGGUGCUAGUGAUUUUCCAACUGCAGAAAGAACUAACAAAAAUUAUAGUCUACGAGACUCGUUUAAUUAUGCAGAGAAUUAACAAAUUCCUCCAAGUACAUAUAGUGUAUACAUCCGAGAAUAUAACGAUUGUAAGGAUUUUAUCCGAGGGUAAUAUAUAACUAGUUUUGCGAAA